UUGCUCGCUUUGGCAGCACAUAUACUAAAAUUGGAAUGAUACAGAGAAGAUUAGCAUGGCCUCUGUGCAAGGAUGACAUGCAAAUUUGUGAAGCGUUCCAUAUUUUU
rnacentral:snRNA from 1 species